AGGGAAUCUUCCACAAUGGACGCAAGUCUGAUGGAGCAACGCCGCGUGAGUGAAGAAGGUUUUCGGAUCGUAAAGCUCUGUUGUUGGUGAAGAAGGAUAGAGGUAGUAACUCGUCUUUAUUUGACGGUAAUCAACCAGAAAGUCACGGCUAACUACGUGCCAGCAGCCGCGGUAAUACGUAGGUGGCAAGCGUUGUCCGGAUUUAUUGGGUGUAAAGGGUGCGUAGGCGGCUUGGCAAGUCAGUUGUGAAAACUAUGGGCUCAACCCAUAGCCUGCAAUUGAAACUGUUGAGCUUGAGUGAAGUAGAGGUAGGUGGAAUUCCCGGUGUAGCGGUGAAAUGCGUAGAGAUCGGGAGGAACACCAGUGGCGAAGGCGACCUACUGGGCUUUAACUGACGCUGAGGCACGAAAGCAUGGGUAGCAAACA
rnacentral:rRNA from 1 species